rnacentral:rRNA from 1 species
UUUAUCGGAGAGUUUGAUCCUGGCUCAGGACGAACGCUGGCGGCGUGCCUAAUACAUGCAAGUCGAGCGGACAGAUGGGAGCUUGCUCCCUGAUGUUAGCGGCGGACGGGUGAGUAACACGUGGGUAACCUGCCUGUAAGACUGGGAUAACUCCGGGAAACCGGGGCUAAUACCGGAUGCUUGUUUGAACCGCAUGGUUCAAACAUAAAAGGUGGCUUCGGCUACCACUUACAGAUGGACCCGCGGCGCAUUAGCUAGUUGGUGAGGUAACGGCUCACCAAGGCAACGAUGCGUAGCCGACCUGAGAGGG